GACGAGGGAUCCUAGCGUCGCUCGGAAUCAUUGGGCGUAAAGCGGGUGUAGGUGGCUUGGUAAGUCGGGUGUGAAAGCCCAGGGCUCAACCCUGGAAGUGCAUUCGAUACUGCUAAGCUUGAAUGCCAGAGAGGUUACUAGAAUACCUGGUGUAGUGGUGAAAUACGUAGAUAUCAGGUGGAACACCGGAGGCGAAGGCGGGUAACUGGCUGGACAUUGACACUGAGACCCGAAAGUGCGGGGAUCAAACAGG
rnacentral:rRNA from 1 species